rnacentral:rRNA from 1 species
GACGAACGCUGGCGGCGUGCUUAAUACAUGCAAGUCGACUGAACUUAAGGUAGCAAUAUUUUAAGGGAGGUGGCGCACGGGUGAGUAACACGUAGGUAAUCUGCCUUUAGGACUGACAUAACUCCGCGAAAGCGGAGCUAAUUUCAGAUGAUGCAGCGGCUCGACAUCGAGACAGUUGUUAAAACCUUCGGGGCCUAAAGAUGAGCCUGCGUCUGAUUAGGUAGUUGGCGGAGUAAUAGCCCACCAAGCCAUCGAUCAGUAGCUGGUCUGAGAGGAUGAUCAGCCACACUGGAACUGAGACACGGUCCAGACUCCUACGGGAGGCAGCAGUAAGGAAUAUUGCUCAAUGGCCGAAAGGCUGAAGCAGCAACGCCGCGUGGAGGAUGAAAUAC